rnacentral:rRNA from 1 species
GACGAACGCUGGCGGCGUGCUUAACACAUGCAAGUCGAACGGUAAGGCCCUUCGGGGUACACGAGCGGCGAACGGGUGAGUAACACGUGGGUGAUCUGCCCUGCACUUCGGGAUAAGCCUGGGAAACUGGGUCUAAUACCGGAUAGGACUCCUGGCUUCAUGGUUGGGGGUGGAAAGCUUUUGCGGUGUGGGAUGGGCCCGCGGCCUAUCAGCUUGUUGGUGGGGUAAUGGCCUACCAAGGCGACGACGGGUAGCCAGCCUGAGAGGGUGACCGGUCACACUGGGACUGAGAUACGGCUCAGACUUCUGCGGGAGGCAGCAGUGGUUAAUAUUGCACAAUGGGCGCAAGCCUGAUGCAGCGACGCCGCGUGAGGGAUGACGGCCUUCGGGUUGUAAACCUCUUUCAGCUAUGACGAAGCGCAAGUGACGGUAGUAGCAGAAGAAGGACCGGCCAACUACGUGCCAGCCGCCGCUGUAA